GUUAAAAAGCUCGUAGUUGGAUUUCUGUGGGGGCGGAGCGGCCGGCCGCAACUUGCGGUUCGAGCUAGCGCUUCCCCUACAUCCUGCCGCGAACCGUGCUACCAUUAGUUUGGUGGCGCCGGGGAUCGGCUCGUUUACUUUGAGAAAAAUAGAGUGUUCAAAGCAGGCCACACGCCUUGAAUAAGUUAGCAUGGAAUAAUAAUAAAGGACUUCGGUUCUAUUUUGUUGGUGUUCGGGACUGAAGUAAUGAUUGAUAGGGACAGUUGGGGCGGUCAGUAUUCCAAAGCGAGAGGUGAAAUUCUUAGACCUUCGGAAGACUAACAGCUGCGAAAGCGUUCCGCAAGGAUGUUCCCUUUGAUCAAGAACGAAAGUUGGGGGAUCGAAGACGAUCAGAUACCGUCGUAGUCUCAACUAUAAACUAUACCAGCUAGGGAUCGGUCAACGUUAAAUUAUUCGACUUGAUCGGCACCUUAUGAGAAAUCAAAGCAUCUGGGUUCCGGGGGGAGUAUGGUCGCAAGGCUGAAACUUAAAGGAAUUGACGGAAGGGCACCACCAGCCGUGGAGCCUGUGGCUUAAUUUGACUCAACACGGGAAAACUUACCAGGUCCAGACAUAGUAAGGAUUGACAGAUCGAUAGCUCUUUC
rnacentral:rRNA from 1 species